rnacentral:rRNA from 1 species
CCUACGGGUGGCAGCAGUCGAGAAUCAUUCACAAUGGGGGAAACCCUGAUGGUGCGACGCCGCGUGGGGGAAUGAAGGUCUUCGGAUUGUAAACCCCUGUCAUGUGGGAGCAAAUUAAAAAGAUAGUACCCCAAGAGGAAGAGACGGCUAACUCUGUGCCAGCAGCCGCGGUAAUACAGAGGUCUCAAGCGUUGUUCGGAAUCACUGGUCGUAAAGCGUGCGUAGGCUGUUUCGUAAGUCGUGUGUGAAAGGCGCGGGCUCAACCCGCGGACGGCACAUGAUACUGCGAGACUAGAGUAAUGGAGGGGGAACCGGAAUUCUCGGUGUAGCAGUGAAAUGCGUAGAUAUCGAGAGGAACACUCGUGGCGAAGGCGGGUUCCUGGACAUUAACUGACGCUGAGGCACGAAGGCCAGGGGAGCGAAAGGGAUUAGAUACCCGGGUAGUC